rnacentral:tRNA from 1 species
GAAUGUUAAAUAGAUAGUCUAUGUUUGAUUACGGAUCAGAAAGGUGAACAUUUU